GGCGGACACGGGUUGCCGGCCACAGAUGAUCGGAUGGCCACUUCAACGGUGGCAGCUGUUUGGCUUGGUGCAGUGGAAUCGGAGGCAACAUUGAUUCAUCAGAACCCAUCCUGUUGGCGAGUAGAUGUCGUGUCCUGAUUUUCAGGCACAGCUAUGUGAACUGGGCUGAGUG
rnacentral:lncRNA from 11 species